GGAGUUGGAAUAGAUGUUUGAAACAAAUGUGUGUAAAUAAAUGAAUUUCUGAUAACUUGGCUAUCGACCUAGAGGCUGGGAGCUCGCUAAGGGACCUCCA
rnacentral:lncRNA from 1 species